UACGAAGGGGGCAAGCGUUAUCCGGAAUUACUGGGCGUAAAGCGCACGCAGGCGGUUCGCCAAGUUUGGAGUGACAGUUGUCGGCUCAACCGAUAAAGGACUUCAAAAACUGGUGAACUUGAGAGCGAGAGAGGAACAUGGAACUCCAGGUGUAGUAGUGAAAUGCGUAGAUAUCUGGAAGAACACCAAAGGCGAAGGCAAUGUUCUGGCUCGUUUCUGACGCUCAGGUGCGAAAGCCAGGGGAGCGAACGGG
rnacentral:rRNA from 1 species